CUACGGGUGGCUCCAGUAGGGAAUUUUCGGCAAUGGGCGCAAGCCUGACCGAGCAACGCCGCGUGAGUGAUUAAGGCCUUCGGGUUGUAAAGCUCUGUUGUAAAGGAAGAACGAUCAGUAUAGGAAAUGAUACCGAUGUGACGGUACUUUACCAGAAAGCCACGGCUAACUACGUGCCAGCAGCCGCGGUAAUACGUAGGUGGCAAGCGUUAUCCGGAAUUAUUGGGCGUAAAGGGAGCGUAGGCGGUUUAUUAAGUCUAUGGUGAAAGUGCGGGGCUCAACCCCGUAUGGCCAUAGAAACUGAUAGACGAGAGUGCAGAAGAGGGUAGUGGAAUUCCAUGUGUAGCGGUAAAAUGCGUAGAUAUAUGGAGGAACACCGGUGGCGAAGGCGGCUACCUGGUCUGUUACUGACGCUGAGGCUCGAAAGCGUGGGGAGCAAAUAGGAUUAGAUACCCCCGUAGUC
rnacentral:rRNA from 1 species